rnacentral:ncRNA from 1 species
UAUUGUAAGCAUAAGUCCUUUAUAGAUUGUUCUAGAUGUUCCCAUCCAUCGGUUGGCUAUAGUCUAGGCACCACAAAUCUGUAGGGCAGCUUCCCCG